UCUCAGUUCGGAUCGCAGGCUGCAACCCGCCUGCGUGAAGUUGGAAUUGCUAGUAAUCGCGGAUCAGCAUGCCGCGGUGAAUACGUUCCCGGGGCCUUGUACACACCGCCCGUCACACCAUGGGAGCCGGUAAUACCCGAAGUCAGUAGUCUAACCGCAAGGGGGGCGCUGCCGAAGGUAGGAUUGGCGACUGGGGUGAAGUCGUAACAAGGUAUC
rnacentral:rRNA from 1 species